AUUGAACGCUGGCGGCAGGCCUAACACAUGCAAGUCGAACGAGUGGCGGACGGGUGAGUAAUGUCUGGGAAACUGCCUGAUGGAGGGGGAUAACUACUGGAAACGGUAGCUAAUACCGCAUACCAUCAGAUGUGCCCAGAUGGGAUUAGCUUGUUGGUGGGGUAACGGCUCACCAAGGCGACGAUCCCUAGCUGGUGUGAGAGGAAGACCAGCCACACUGGAGCUGAGACAAGGUCCAGACUCCUACGAGAAGCAGCAGUGGGGAAUAUUGCACAAGGGGCGCAAUCCUGAAGCAGCAAUGCAGGGUGUAUGAAGAAGGCCUUCGGGUUGUAAAGUACUUUCAGCGGGGAGGCGUUACCCGCAGAAGAAGCACCGGCUAACUCCGUGCCAGCAGCCGCGGUAAUUC
rnacentral:rRNA from 1 species